CUGAAGUCCUAUUCAAAUCGGUGCCAAGGUUAAUCUCGAGUCAAGGGAAGCCCCUGAAUUGAUUAAAUAGAAUACUGAAAAAAUAAGAAGUUACCCUUUUAGAAUUUCAACCAUUAUAUCACUGCAUCAUGAUGUUUUGCAAAACACGGUCUAUGGGACCGUAGGAUUUAUAUUCAGCCAUCCAUAUUUGUGUCCUUCAAAUUUUCAACGAUAUAUGGACAUUCUAAGUACAAGCAACAUACAACAGUCCAGUGCCUUGACUAGCCGCCGGCACUCAUCGCCACCUUUUUACGUGUGUGGCAGCCUUUCCUCGGUUGCUGGCACCCAACUGUAUUCCUCUUCCCCUCCUUUAGAUCUUUAGCUGCUCUGUUUAGUUAACAACUUAAUGUAUGUUUCGACAGGAUUGGGUUGAUUUCUA